rnacentral:lncRNA from 1 species
AUAGAUCUGCUACUGCGCCAGGGUGGGUCUCAGUUUCUCCACAGGGUGCGUUUCAGUUUCUCAACCAUGACCAUAAUGUUAACCCUGUCCAUGAGAGGGAUAUACGUGUUUAUAAUAUAAGUACUGCAUGUGAAUCAGAAUGAGAAUAUCGAAUGAGUAAGUAAAUACUGAUCUACUGCAUUGCGCAGAUAAUACCUACGUGCAUUACCAUCACUGUUCUUCAAAUAUACCAGGAGGCAGGAACAAAGAUCAGUACACUUCAAUUAUUCUUUUUCGCAGGCACAACGUUUUGUUGAUGUUCUUUUAGUUCAUACAAAUCGAUCAUACAUCAUAUCAAUGCCGCAUAUGAAAAAGGUGCACUCCAACCAGUUGUGUCACCCCCCUUAGAUCAGCGAGUUUGGUUGGGAAGUAAACCAAGGGCAAGUCAAUAUCAGAUGGAUGACCAUGCUGACAGCUCCUGAUGGAAUUCUGGAAACGUUAACUGUGGUUGUAAGUCUGGAUGUUCAAGAUGUUGUGCCUGUCAAAAAGCAGAUUUGAAGUGUACUGGUCUUUGUUCCUGUUGCGAGUGCACAAAUUUCUCCGACCAGAAUACAGACGAGAACAAUUUGUCAGGUGAUGGCAAUCAUGGUGACUUAUUAUUCGAACUUGAUGGCGAUGACACUGGAUUCGAUGGCAUAUUUGAAGAACAAUGAUGGUAAUGCACGUAGGUAUUAUCUGCGCAGUGCAGUAGAUCAGUAUUUAUUUACUCAUUCGAUAUUUUCAUUCGGAUCCACAGUGGUCAAGGUUAAUGUAUGGUCAUGGCUGAGAAGCUGAAACGCACCCUGGUGGGGGAGCUUAAACGCACCCUGGCGCAGUAGCAAAUCUAAAAGAAAAAGUCAACUACUAUGUGCACGAAAAGCCAGGUUGAAUCGUUCCUUGUUAUUCUAGAUAGUAGCUAAAUACCAACUUAUGUCACAAUAUAAUAUAUAGUAGAACUUUACCAGACAAAAGCCAGGACAGCUUAUUGUAGAAUACAU